GGAUUGUAGCUCAGUGGUAGAGCACUUGCCUUGAAUGUAUGAGGCUGGAUUCAAUCCUCAGCACCA
rnacentral:tRNA from 1 species